UACGUAGGGCGCAAGCGUUAUCCGGAAUUAUUGGGCGUAAAGAGCUCGUAGGCGGUUUGUCGCGUCUGCUGUGAAAAACUCGGGGCUUAACUCCGGGCCUGCAGUGGGUACGGGCAGACUAGAGUGCGGUAGGGGAGACUGGAAUUCCUGGUGUAGCGGUGAAAUGCGCAGAUAUCAGGAGGAACACCGGUGGCGAAGGCGGGUCUCUGGGCCGUAACUGACGCUGAGGAGCGAAGGCGUGGGGAGCGAACAGG
rnacentral:rRNA from 1 species